UUUGUUUCUUUCCUGAACAUCUGGUCCAACUCUUGUUGUAUCAAAGAUUAUCCAAACUUUAAUCUGCCGUCGAACUUUUCAAUUUCGAAUUGAUCUCACUUGUGGAUCGAAAACCACAAGCUCAAUAUAUAACCCAUUCUGAUACAAACUCUUGUUGUAUCAAAGAUUAUCCAAACUUUAAUCUGCCGUCGAACUUUUCAAUUUCGAAUUGAUCUCGCUUGUGGAUCGAAAACCACAAGCUCAAUAUAUAACCCAUUCUGAUACCGAUGGUUGUAAAUCUGAUAUUU
rnacentral:lncRNA from 1 species